GACGAACGCUGGCGGCGUGCUUAACACAUGCAAGUCGAACGGAAAGGCCCUGCUUUUGUGGGGUGCUCGAGUGGCGAACGGGUGAGUAACACGUGGGUAACCUGCCCUUGACUUUGGGAUAAGUCCGGGAAACUGGGGCUAAUACCGGAUAGGAGCUCCUGCUGCAUGGUGGGGGUGGGAAAGUUUCGGCGGUUGGGGAUGGACUCGCGGCUUAUCAGCUUGUUGGUGGGGUAGUGGCUUACCAAGGCUUUGACGGGUAGCCGGCCUGAGAGGGUGACCGGCCACAUUGGGACUGAGAUACGGCCCAGACUCCUACGGGAGGCAGCAGUGGGGAAUAUUGCACAAUGGGCGGAAGCCUGAUGCAGCAACGCCGCGUGCGGGAUGACGGCCUUCGGGUUGUAAACCGCUUUCGCCUGUGACGAAGCGUGAGUGACGGUAAUGGGUAAAGAAGCACCGGCUAACUACGUG
rnacentral:rRNA from 1 species